UAUAAUUAUAAAUACUUUAGCUAACGCGUAAAUACUUCGUCUGGGGAGUACAGCUGCAAAGUUAAAACUUAAAGAAAUUGGCGGGAAUUUAUAUUAACGGUGGAACAUGUGGCUUAAUUUGAUAGUACGCAAAAAAUCUUACCGAUAUUUUGGGUUUAAUUGAUUAAACUUGAUUGGUUUUGCAUGGCUGUCGUCAGUUCGUGCCGUGAGGUGUAUGGUUUAGUCCUUUACGAACGAGAUUCUCUUUAUUGUAAAUUGAUAGUAUAGGGAGUGACGUCAAGUCAGUAUGGACUGCAUAUAUUGGGCUGCACAUGUGUUAUAAGGGCAGUUAUAAUGAGUUACGAUAAUGUAAGUUGGAGUAAAUCUAUAAAAAUUGUCUAAGUACGGAUUGUUUUUUGUAAUUUAGGGACAUGAAGUUGAAAUCGUUAGUAAUCAUGAAGAAGUGCGUUAUGGUGAAUAAAUAAUUAAAUUCUGCACAUACCGCCCAUCAUGCUAGGGAAGUUAAGGUGAUUGGAUAGUUAUGGCCUCUGUUUAGGGUAAAGUUUAAUUCGGGAAUUUAGUUUAUUUUAAAUAUGUAACUGAAGAAUAGUUUGAUAACUUUAGUUAAGUUGUAACAAGGUACUGGUAGGGGAACCUGUUGGUGGAGUA
rnacentral:rRNA from 1 species